UACGUAGGGGGCUAGCGUUGUCCGGAAUCAUUGGGCGUAAAGCGCGUGUAGGCGGUUCGGUAAGUCCGCUGUGAAAGUCGGGGCUCAACCCUCGGAUGCCGGUGGAUACUGUCGAGCUUGAGUACGGAAGAGGCGAGUGGAAUUCCUGGUGUAGCGGUGAAAUGCGCAGAUAUCAGGAGGAACACCAAUUGCGAAGGCAGCUCGCUGGGACGUUACUGACGCUGAGACGCGAAAGCGUGGGGAGCAAACAGG
rnacentral:rRNA from 1 species